AAGUCAGCCAGGAGACUAUAAAAUUCAUACUGAUGAGACUGGACGAAAUACCUAGUAACAGUUGUACGUUAUUAGGUAUCUAUGA
ncrna:unclassified sequences RAGATH-1-hammerhead ribozyme sequence